rnacentral:rRNA from 1 species
CGAAAGAUGGUUUUCUUCGGACACUCUUCAAGGUGCUGCAUGGUUGUCGUCAGCUCGUGCCGUGAGGUGUCGGGUUAAGUCCCAUAACGAGCGCAACCCUUACCGUUAGUUACCAUCAGGUUAAGCUGGGGACUCUAGCGGGACUGCCACCGUAAGGUGAGAGGAAGGUGGGGAUGACGUCAAAUCAGCACGGCCCUUAUGUCCAGGGCUACACACGUGUUACAAUGGCCGGUACAAAGGGCAGCUACUUCGCGAGAAGAUGCUAAUCUCGAAAGCCGGUCUCAGUUCGGAUCGAAGUCUGCAACCCGACUUCGUGAAGCUGGAUUCGCUAGUAAUCGCGCAUCAGCCAUGGCGCGGUGAAUACGUUCCCGGGCCUU